rnacentral:rRNA from 1 species
CCUACGGGAGGCAGCAGUAGGGAAUAUUGGGCAAUGGGCGCAAGCCUGACCCAGCAACGCCGCGUGAAGGAAGAAGGCUUUCGGGUUGUAAACUUCUUUUGUCAGGGAAGAGGAGAAGACUGUACCUGGCGAAUAAGCCACGGCUAACUACGUGCCAGCAGCCGCGGUAAUA